UGUUACUGUUCCUCACUUUAUAUGAACUGCUGUAAAUAAUGUUAUCAUCUGCAUGAAAACUCAACCCACAGGUUUCUAUUUGUGUCUUGUCUCUCCCUGAACACAAUUAGAGGCACUCUGUCAGGAGAGACAGGUAGACCAGCAGUCCCUGCUUUCUGAAACUCUCUCUGGACUUCAAGACAUACUUUGGGAACUUGGUUCCCUAGUAGAGGACAAGUUGUGGCCCCAGAUGGACACACAGGACUCAGAGAGGGACAGAACCUGUCUGAGCCUCACACCUUCCAUCCUGCCAGUGUCCUGCUCAGUCCUGAGGUGGGCAGUGGGCACUGAACACUGACCACAAGGACAGAAGCACUUCCCUCUCUGUCGUAGCUGGUCAGGAGGGGGUCAGGGAGCACUGGGUACAGGAGCCCCUCCAACUCUGCUCAGAGUCAAGCCCAUUUCCUCUCUUCUCUUCACUGUCCCUCAGGACACCUGCCCUGUUGUUCCUCAGAUGGGCAGGAGAUGGGCUCCUUCCAGGGACUGAUGGCGCCUUCCAGGGGCGACAGUGAGAGGAAAUGGCGCUCACACCUGCUUCUGUCAGCCUCCUGGGGAGGUCCUAUCAGGAGAUGGGUCCUCUCCACAGGGACCUUCUAGAAAGCAUCAAGGAGGGAAGUCCAGCACUCAGGGGCUCUGAGAGUCUCUGAGCAGGCCCACGUGAUGGAGGAGGGAAGGGCAGGAGGGUCCCUGGGACCCAGCACAGAGCCUGCCCUCAGCUCAGCUCAGCCUCUGACACAGGGAGCUGGUUGAUCCCCUCUGCUCACACUGGGGACA